rnacentral:rRNA from 1 species
CGACUGGGGUGAAGCCGUAACAAGGUAGCUGUAGGUGAACCUGCAGAAGGAUCA